AGUGGGAGCGGGCUUGCUCGCGAAUGCGGCGUGUCAGUCAAUACAUCUGUAUCUGAUAUAGCGUUUUCGCGAGCAAGCCCGCUCCCACA
rnacentral:misc_RNA from 1 species